GCCGUAGUAGCUCAGUUGGUUAGAGCGUCGGUCUAAUAAGCCGAAGGCCGCAGGAUCGUGACCUGCCGGUGGCA